rnacentral:rRNA from 1 species
GCUAGCGAUAGGCCUAACACAUGCAAGUCGAGGGGCAGCAUAGGGUAGCAAUACUUUGAUGGCGACCGGCGCACGGGUGAGUAACGCGUAUGCAACCUACCUAUAACAGGGGAAUAAGCCCGGAGAAAUUCGGACUAAUACCGCAUAAAACAGGGGCUCCGCAUGGUGAUAUUUGUUAAAGAUUUAUCGGUUAUAGAUGGGCAUGCGUUCCAUUAGCCAGUUGGUGAGGUAACGGCUCACCAAAGCAACGAUGGAUAGGGGUUCUGAGAGGUUUGUCCCCCACACUGGAACUGAGACACGGACCAGACUCCUACGGGAGGCAGCAGUGAGGAAUAUUGGUCAAUGGGCGAGAGCCUGAACCAGCCAAAUCGCGUGAAGGAAGACUGCCUUAUGGGUUGUAAACUUCUUUUAUACAGGAAUAAAAAGAUUACGUGUAACUUAUUGCAAGUACAGUACGAAUAAGCAUCGGCUAACUCCGUGCCAGCAGCCGCGGUAAUACGGAGGAUGCGAGCGUUAUCCGGAUUUAUUGGGUUUAAAGGGUGCGCAGGCGGGAACUUAAGUCAGCGGUGAAAUCUCGACGCUUAACGUCGAAACUGCCGUUGAAACUGGGUUUCUUGAGUAUAGAUGAAGUAGGCGGAAUUCGUUGUGUAGCGGUGACAUGCUUAGAUAUAACGAGGAACUCCGAUUGCGUAGGCAGCUUACUAAGCUAUAACUGACGCUGAAGCACGAAAGCGUGGGGAUCAAACAGGAUUAGAUACCCUGGUAGUCCACGCCGUAAACGAUGAUUACUAGUUGUAUGCGAUAUACCGUAUGUGACUAAGCGAAAGCGAUAAGUAAUCCACCUGGGGAGUACGCCGGCAACGGUGAAACUCAAAGGAAUUGACGGGGGCCCGC